rnacentral:lncRNA from 1 species
AAAAAAUUACCGGGUCCUACGGGCCACGCAACUUUUUUAUUAAAAACAGUGUCUGUGUGCAUCAAAACGAACGCAUGUGUAAAAAUUUAUGUAAUUUUUGCUUUUUUUAGUUUAAAAAAGCUGUGUCCAAAUAUGGUACACGUGGCACCUGAUUGUACAGGUUUUAUUUUUUGAUGUCGUGUGCCAUGUGUACCUUAUCUGGAGUCUGGACACGUACAAGGUCAAUGUUGAUUCGCCUGGAGAGAUGGCAGCAGUUGUACGGUUUUCACUAGAAGCGCAAAUACCACGUGCAUUUUAUGCUGUCAUUUGGAGGAGCAAUGGCGGCAAAGGAAAGAAUUAUUUCUGAUACUGAGAUGCAACAAGCAGUGGAGGCUGCAGCAGAAGAAAUAGAGAUUUAUAGAGACCUCGACAUGAGUGACGAGUUUUCAAAUAUCUCAGAUUCUGAUUUGGAUCCGACAUAUUUGGCCGGCCAGAUAUCUUCAAGCAGUUCUGAAGAAGACCGCCCUAAAAAGAAAAAGAUGAAGUAUGUACGUCAGUUAGAUACUUCCGAGCCUUCAACAUCUGCUCAGUUAGAUAUAGACAUAGAUUCUUCAGGCAAUGAUGAAAGACUGGAGUGGAGACCAGCUUCAGGAAAUUUUUCGACAUUCACUCUACCAAUGAAUAUUGGAAUUUCACUAGCCUUGCAGACCCAAAUGCGCGAUAAGGAUGAACUUCAUUUUUUUGAAUUAUUUGUAUCCGACGAUGUUAUUAAUAAGAUCGUUGUCAAAACAAAUAGAUACGUGGAACAGCAAAUUAUUCUUGCCAUAACUAAUGAAAAUAUUGCCCAAUAUUCUCGCCUAAAUGCAUGGGUGGAUACUAAUUAUAACGAAAUACGAACAUUUAUUGCUAUUUUAAUUUGGAUGGGAUUGGAUAAAAAACCAUCACUAAAAGAUUAUUGGCGCAAACAUCCAUUAAAAAAAAUGAAAUAUCAAAAUAUUUGCGGAAUAGAUUUGAGCUGCUUUUGCGUAUGUUUCAUUUGGCAAAUAAUGAAAAUUGUCCUCCCAAUGACCGGCUUCAUAAAAUUCAAUGCCUUGUUGAUAUGCUGAACAAGAAUGCUUCUUUCUGCAUUAUUCCAGAAGAGUCUCUUUGCAUCGAUGAAACCAUGAUACCUUUCCGAGGUAAAUUAUCCUUUCGACAGUAUAUAAAAGAAAACGACAUAAGUUCGGCAGUUUAUAAAGUAUGUCUAGAUGAAGGAUUUACUUACAGCCUGAAAGUAUAUUGUGGUAAAGAGAAAAUAAAUGGACAGUCGGUUGCGGAAUCUAUUGUUAUGGAAAUGUUGCAACCAUUGCUUGAUAGUGGCCGGACCCUUUUUGCAGACAAUUGGUACACCUCUAUUCCUCUUGCGGAAAACUUGCAAAAUAGAUCAACAUUCUCAUUCGUAAAUGCCUUAAAUCUGUACAACAAAAUUAACGAGAAAAAAAUUUCAAUAACGACUUUCAAAAAAAUCAACUUUUGGAAACGGCAGUACCGCCAAUCCCAAUGAAUCCCUCAAAAGAGCACAAAGUUUCCGAAAAGACAGAUAACGAGAAAAAGCUAAAAAGAGGCAGGUGCAGAUAUUGCUACCAAAAAAACUCACAAGAACAGGGGCGUAAUUAUGUUGUAAAAAAUACCAAAAGUUUCCUACGUAUGUCUAGGCUGUGACGAAAAUAUUUUUAUUUGUAUGGACUGUUUUUUCCAAAAACAUGUUUUUAAAAAUAUAAAAUAAUCUUUUCAUUUUGAAGUACUUAUUUUGUUUUUAAAAUUAGUUUGUUUAUUUUAUAAUUAUAAAUAACAAUUUUAUAUGUUAAAUUACUGCCCAUUGAAAAAAUAAACGUAUCAUUUAAAAACGUCAA